UCCGGUUUGUCACCGGCAGUAUUGCUAAAGUGCCCACCAUAACGUGCUGGCAACUAACAAAAAGGGUUUCGUUCGUUGCGGGACUUAACCCAACAUCUCACGACACGAACUGACGACAGCCAUGCAGCACCUGUGCGGACUCCAACUAAAUGACCCUUAACUUUCGAAAAGGUAUAAGUCCCAUGCAAAGGUUGGUAAGGUUCUUCGCGUAGCCUCGAAUUAAACCACAUACUCCACCGCUUGUGCGGAUCCCCGUCAAUUCCUUUGAGUUUUAAUCUUGCGACCGUACUCCCCAGGCGGAAUGCUUAUCGCGUUAGCUUUGAUACUGAUAACCGAGGUUACCAACAUCGAGCAUUCAUCGUUUACGGCGUGGACUAC
rnacentral:misc_RNA from 1 species